rnacentral:rRNA from 1 species
AACGAACGCUGGCGGCAGGCUUAACACAUGCAAGUCGAACGCCCGUAGCAAUACGGGAGUGGCGGACGGGUGAGUAACGCGUGGGAACGUGCCCUGAGGUACGGAAUAACUGCGGGAAACUGCAGCUAAUACCGUAUGAGCCCCGUGAGGGGGAAAGAUUUAUCGCCUUAGGAGCGGCCCGCGUCGGAUUAGCUAGUUGGUGGGGUAACGGCUUACCAAGGCUUCGAUCCGUAGCUGGUCUGAGAGGACGAUCAGCCACACUGGGACUGAGACACGGCCCAGACUCCUACGGGGGCAGCAGUGGGGAAUCUUGCGCAAUGGGGGCAACCCUGACGCAGCCAUGCCGCGUGAAUGAUGAAGGCCUUAGGGUUGUAAAGUUCUUUUGCCCGUGACGAUGAUGACGGUAACGGGAGAAUAAGCUCCGGCUAACUUCGUGCCAGCCGCCGCUGUAAUAC